AUGAUCAUACUUUAUAGGAUCACUUCUAUAGUGCGAUUCCCGGGGUUUUCUCGCCAAGAUUCUCGGAAUAUAUUCAACCACGAUGAGGGGCUGUUAGUGUAAUCCUCUGAGCGGGAAGCGGCUUCAAGUGUUUGCUUGAGAGUUUGAUGACGUUCUGACUCGGUUUACGAUGUUUAGAGGAGGAUCACACAGGCCCGAGUGGG
rnacentral:snoRNA from 1 species